GGUUCAGGACGAACGCUGGCGGCGUGCCUAAUACAUGCAAGUCGAACGGUCUUUCUAUGGAAGCUUGCUUCCACUGAGAAGAUAGUGGCGAACGGGUGAGUAACACGUGGGUAACCUGCCCAUAAGAGGGGGAUAACAUCCGGAAACGGGUGCUAAUACCGCAUAGUUUUCUUGAUCGCAUGAUCGGGAAAGGAAAGACGGCCUUUGUGCUGUCGCUUAUGGAUGGACCCGCGGCGUAUUAGUUAGUUGGUGAGGUAACGGCUCACCAAGACGAUGAUACGUAGCCGACCUGAGAGGGUGAUCGGCCACAUUGGGACUGAGACACGGCCCAAACUCCUACGGGAGGCAGCAGUAGGGAAUCUUCCGCAAUGGACGAAAGUCUGACGGAGCAACGCCGCGUGAGUGAAGAAAGGUUUUCGGAUCGUAAAACUCUGUUGUCAGAGAAGAACAAGUUGGAGAGUAACUGCUCCAGCCUUGACGGUAUCUGACCAGAAAGCCACGGCUAACUACGUGCCAGCCGCAGC
rnacentral:rRNA from 1 species